rnacentral:snRNA from 16 species
AUACUUACCUGGACGGGGUCGACGGCUGAUCAAGAAGAGUCGUGGCCUAAGCUAGUGGUCCACAUUGCACUUGGUGGAUGCGCUGGCUUACCAUCUCCCCAAGCGGGAGAGUGGACGUCAUAAUUUAUGGUAGAGGGGGUACGCGUUCGCGCGGCCCCUGC